CGGGAGGAAGCGUAGUCCUCCGGCCCGGGCUCGGGGGUGGGCUUACGACCCUCACGGCUCGGCUUCUGCAACUUUCCACCUUCUAAGCGAUUUCUGGACCGGACGGUGGCGAGUGCUUCGUGUUUACCCUCAUGCCUGGAAACUCAGAAGACCUCUGUGGUUGUUGGUUAUUCCAGGCGGGGACCACUGGAGGAUGUUCGUAUGAGGCAGAGGAGCCGACCCUCCCUCACUCUCAAAGGUCACCAAAGGUGGGCUUGCAGCUGGUGAAUUGCCAGGGAGCUUUGCUCUGAGGUGGCUGUGAUUUGCCACAAACCAGCUUAGCUGAGCUGAAGUUUUUGCAGUCAGCUGUUUCUGUAUCCAGGGAAGGACACUGGCCACAUGCCUCCCGGUGGUCUUCUCUGCAGGGCCCUGAGAAUCUCAAAAGAGCAAGGCACAGGCAAGGGAAGAGCCUAGAGGACUUGGAAGACAGGAACUACAGUUCUGCAGACUAGAAGGAGAUGCUGGUAACCAUCAGCCCUUUUAUGAUGAGUAAAAUGAGGCCAGGAUAGAAAAAAAAUCCAGUAAGAGGCAGUAAGCAGAACCAGAAGUCAAGAUGGGGGUCCUGAGUUCCAGCCUUGGAUGCCACCCAAGUCUGUGGAGAAGGUGAAGACAUAGCUGGGGUGACCUCAGGUGCCAUCAGCUCCUGGGCUGGUUGGAGCUGAGCUUUGCUGCUGAGCCGGGCUGGCCUUCACUGCUCUCUGGGAAGAUUGGACCUGGCUGCUUGUGAACAUUUCCAGGCCUGUGCAGCCACCCUCUCCCCCCAGGACCUCAAGCUGAUUUGAAUAUCACAUUCUAUUGUGUGGAGGUGCAAUGUGAGGUUCUUGGGUCAAGAGCAGCUCCUGGACACUGAGCACUGGGCUGACUGUCUGUGCCUGCAGCCCAGGGCGUGGCGCACAGCUUCCCCCAGCAGAGGCCUUCUUCCCCGCUUGUCGCUCCCACAGACCCUCCAGCUGAAGAUUGAGAAGCCACUAGGAAGCAGACUGAGUCACUUGGGCAAUGAUUCAGCCACACCAACCGUGAACUCUCAAUGACUUGGGCUAAUGAAGAGAAGAAUGGCAUGGAUAAUCUAAAAAUAAUGGAUGAUGGGAAAGGAAUUCAGCCUGCUCGUGGAGUGUGCCAGGAUACAGUCCUGGAUACAGAGCCCCAGGACACUUGAUGUCAAGACCCAGCUCUGCCGCUAACUUGGGCAAGUCACAUCAUCUCUUUACACCUGUUUCCUUCGCUGUGAAAUGAGAGGGUUAGACCGGAUGAUAUCUAAACCUCCUCCAGCCUCAACUGUCUCCCACUUGUGGAUGCCAUUUUAUGGAUAGAGAAAUCAAAGACUUGAUAAAGACUGCAAAAGUGCAAAUUUGCUCAUAACACAGAAAGUUUCAGAGAGCUGGCAACUCUGGCUAACUUCAAUGGGAAAGGAAUUUUGGGGUGGAAUAUCAAAAUAAACACAGUACUUACAGGAAGGCUAGAAGACCAGGCUCAGGGAAAGAACCAGAAACCAGGAAGACCAACAGGAAGCACAGAAAGUUCACCUCCACAGGACCUGUCCGGUUAUGAAUCACCACUGUUUACAUAGUGAUGCCAGGGAACAUACAAAGCGCAGUGGUUAAGAAUCUGCCUGCCAAUGCAGAGGAUGCGGGUUGAAUCCCUGGUCCAGGAAGAUCCCACAUGCUGCGGAGCAACUAAGCCCAUGCACCACAGCUACCAAGCCUGUGCUCUAGAGCCUGUGAGCCACAACUACUGAGCCUGCACACCACAACUACUGAAGCCCGUGCACCUAGAGCCCGUGCUCCACAACAAGAGAAGCCACCACAGUGAAAAGCCCGCGCACUGCAACGAAGAGUAGCCCCCGCUCGCUGCAACUAGAGAAAGCCUGUGUGCAGCAACGAAGACCCAACACAGCCAAAAAUAAAAAUAAAUAAAAUAAAAUAAAUUAAAAAAAUAAAAGAAUGCAUGUUAUCCAAAUGUUGAGUGAAAUAUUUUAUUAGGUAUUUAUUAGAUGAAGCUUGUAAAUUAUGUUGUUUGCUGAUUUUUGGCUGUUCUAUCAAUUUUUUGAGAAGAUCAUGUUAAAAAUCUCUAAUUAUAAUAAUGAAUUAGUAAAUUCCUCCUUAAAACUCUUACAAUAUUUGCUUUAUGUAUUUUGAGCUAUGUUUUCAGUGCCUACGAGAUUAGAUUUGUAAUGCUUUCCUGGUGAAUAAGACGUUAUUAUUAUACAGCAACUCUACCUCCUUCUUCCAUGUCCUUUUAUAUUUCAGUUACGUCUCUAUUCAAAAGAAUACAACUAGAUUCUUAAAAAAUUGGAUAUGAUAGUCUUUGUUUAUUCCAUUUACAUUUGGUGUGAUGAAUGAUAUAUUUUAAUUUACUUCUGCCUUCUAGUUUUGCUUCCUAUUUGUUCAGCUUUUUAAAGAUUUCUUUAUCAGAUUAUGGAAAUUCCUUUCUAUUCUUAGUUUGCUAUGAGUUUUUAUCUUGAAUUGAAGUUAAACUUUUUUUCAGGCUUUUCUUAAAUCUACUGAGAUGAGCCUAUUAUCUUCUUCAUUAAUCUGUUAAUGUGGUGAAUUGACAGAUUGAUUUUCCUAUGUUAAGCCAGCUUUGCAUUCUUGAAACAAACCCAACUUAGUCAUGACUGUUCACUUUUAAAAUUUAUUUGUGCCUUCUUUUUCUCUCCCUUCUCUUGUUCAGAGGUUUAUUAACUCUUUAAAAACAAAACAACAACUUUGGCUUAGUUUAUUCUAUUUUAUGUUUUUAUUCUAUUUUAUUAAUUUUGGUUCAAACUUUUACUAUUUCAUUUGUUUUUCCAUUCUUUGGGUUAAUGUUAAAAAAAAGGAUUUAAAAAAAAUUUCUUGUGGUGGAUAUUUAACUCAUUAAUUUUCAACCUUUCUCGUUUUCUAAACUUCUUCGUAGUUGUUGCUUUAGCUGUAUCUUGUAAAUUUUGACACAUGGUAUUUUCACUACCAUGAAUAUUAGAAUAUUUUCUGAAUUUCUAUUAUAAUUUUCUUCUUUGACCUACAGACUAUUUAGAAGUAUAUUGCUUAAUUUCUAAGCAUAGUGAUUUACCAUGCUCGCUACUGAUAUCUAGCUUAAUUGCACUGUGAUCACAAGACAUACUCUGUAUUAUUUUAAUGUUUUGAAAAAUUUGAAACUUAAUUUACAGUCAUUAUAUAUUCUUGUGCUUUUGUAACUCUUCCAUAUGUGCUUUAAAAGAUUCUGUAUCAUGCAGUUAUUGAAUAUAG